UACGUAGGUGGCAAGCGUUGUCCGGAUUUACUGGGCGUAAAGGGCGUGCAGGCGGUCUGUUAAGUCUAGGGUGAAAGCUCCCGGCUCAACUGGGAGAGGUCCUUGGAUACUGGCGGACUUGAGUGCAGAAGAGGGAAGUGGAAUUCCCGGUGUAGAGGUGAAAUUCGUAGAUAUCGGGAGGAACACCAGUGGCGAAGGCGGCGACCCUGGACGGACACUGACGCUGAGACGGCGAAAAGCG
rnacentral:rRNA from 1 species